CCUACGGGAGGCAGCAGUGAGGAAUAUUGGUCAAUGGACGAGAGUCUGAACCAGCCAAGUAGCGUGAAGGAUGACUGCCCUAUGGGUUGUAAACUUCUUUUAUAUGGGAAUAAAACGUUCCACGUGUGGGAUUUUGUAUGUACCAUAUGAAUAAGGAUCGGCUAACUCCGUGCCAGCAGCCGCGGUAAUACGGAGGAUCCGAGCGUUAUCCGGAUUUAUUGGGUUUAAAGGGUGCGUAGGUGGAUUGUUAAGUCAGUUGUGAAAGUUUGCGGCUCAACCGUAAAAUUGCAGUUGAUACUGGUAGUCUGGAGGACAGUAGAGGUGGGCGGAAUUCGGGGUGUAGCGGUGAAAUGCUUAGAUAUCACGAAGAACUCCGAUUGCGAAGGCAGUUCACUGGACUGCAACUGACACUGAGGCUCGAAAGUGUGGGUAUCAAACAGGAUUAGAUACCCCAGUAGUC
rnacentral:rRNA from 1 species